rnacentral:rRNA from 1 species
GGGGAAUCUUGCGCAAUGGGGGCAACCCUGACGCAGCCAUGCCGCGUGAAUGAUGAAGGCCUUAGGGUUGUAAAGUUCUUUUGCCCGUGACGAUGAUGACGGUAACGGGAGAAUAAGCUCCGGCUAACUUCGUGCCAGCAGCCGCGGUAAUACGAAGGGGGCUAGCGUUGUUCGGAAUUACUGGGCGUAAAGCGCGCGCAGGCGGUUUUGUAAGUUAGGGGUGAAAUCCCCGGGCUCAACCCGGGAAUGGCCUUUAAGACUGCAAGGCUAGAGGACGAGAGAGGUGAGUGGAAUUCCCAGUGUAGAGGUGAAAUUCGUAGAUAUUGGGAAGAACACCGGUGGCGAAGGCGGCUCACUGGCUCGUUUCUGACGCUGAGGCGCGAAAGCGUGGGGAGCAAAC